rnacentral:rRNA from 1 species
UCUAAGUAUAAGCAAUUAUACCGUGAAACUGCGAAUGGCUCAUUAAAUCAGUUAUCGUUUAUUUGAUAGUACCUUACUACUUGGAUAACCGUGGUAAUUCUAGAGCUAAUACAUGCUAAAAACCCCAACUUCGGGAGGGGUGUAUUUAUUAGAUAAAAAACCAACGCCCUUCGGGGCUCCUUGGUGAUUCAUAAUAACUUAACGGAUCGCAUGGCCUUGCGCCGGCGACGGUUCAUUCAAAUUUCUGCCCUAUCAACUUUCGAUUGUAGGGUAUUGGCCUACAAUGGUUUCAACGGGUAACGGGGAAUUAGGGUUCGAUUCCGGAGAGGGAGCCUGAGAAACGGCUACCACAUCCAAGGAAGGCAGCAGGCGCGCAAAUUACCCAAUCCCGACACGGGGAGGUAGUGACAAUAAAUACUGAUACAGGGCUCUUUUGGGUCUUGUAAUUGGAAUGAGUACAAUUUAAACCCCUUAACGAGGAACAAUUGGAGGGCAAGUCUGGUGCCAGCAGCCGCGGUAAUUCCAGCUCCAAUAGCGUAUAUUAAAGUUGUUGCAGUUAAAAAGCUCGUAGUUGAACCUUGGGCCUGGCUGGCCGGUCCGCCUCACCGCGUGCACUGGUCCGGCCGGGCCUUUCCUUCUGGAGAGCCGCAUGCCCUUCACUGGGUGUGUCGGGGAACCAGGACUUUUACUUUGAAAAAAUUAGAGUGUUCAAAGCAGGCCUUUGCUCGAAUACGUUAGCAUGGAAUAAUAGAAUAGGACGUGCGGUCCUAUUUUGUUGGUUUCUAGGACCGCCGUAAUGAUUAAUAGGGAUAGUCGGGGGCAUCAGUAUUCAAUUGUCAGAGGUGAAAUUCUUGGAUUUAUUGAAGACUAACUACUGCGAAAGCAUUUGCCAAGGAUGUUUUCAUUAAUCAGUGAACGAAAAGUUAGGGGAUCGAARAACGAUCARAUACCGGUCGUAGUCUUAAACCGUAAAACUAUGGCCRACUAGGGGAUCGGGCGGAUGUUAUUAUUUUUGA